UACAGAGGGUGCGAGCGUUAAUCGGAUUUACUGGGCGUAAAGCGUGCGUAGGCGGCCAAUUAAGUCAAAUGUGAAAUCCCCGAGCUUAACUUGGGAAUUGCAUUCGAUACUGGUUGGCUAGAGUAUGGGAGAGGAUGGUAGAAUUCCAGGUGUAGCGGUGAAAUGCGUAGAGAUCUGGAGGAAUACCGAUGGCGAAGGCAGCCAUCUGGCCUAAUACUGACGCUGAGGUACGAAAAAGCAUGGGGAGCAAACAGGAUUAGAUACCCGCGUAGUCC
rnacentral:rRNA from 1 species